CUUGGUGGCCUUAGCGAGGACGCAACACCCGAUCCCAUCCCGAACUCGGCCGUGAAAGUCCCCAGCGCCAAUGGUACUUCGUCUUAAGACGCGGAAGAGUAGGUCGCUGCCAAGC
rnacentral:rRNA from 2 species